rnacentral:rRNA from 1 species
UGACCGCUGGCGGCAUGCUUUCCACAUGCAAGUCGCACGGUAACAGGCCUUCGGGUGCUGACGAGUGGCGAACGGGUGAGUAAUGCAUCGGAACGUACCCAGAGGUGGGGGAUAACGCAGCGAAAGCUGUGCUAAUACCGCAUGUGAUCUGAGGAUGAAAGCGGGGGACCGAGCAGCAAUGUUUGGCCUCGCGCCUUUGGAGCGGCCGAUGUCGGAUUAGCUAGUUGGUGGGGUAAAGGCCUACCAAGGCGACGAUCCGUAGCUGGUCUGAGAGGACGACCAGCCACACUGGGACUGAGACACGGCCCAGACUCCUACGGGAGGCAGCAGUGGGGAAUUUUGGACAAUGGGCGCAAGCCUGAUCCAGCAAUGCCGCGUGCGGGAAGAAGGCCUUCGGGUUGUAAACCGCUUUUGGCAGGAACGAAACGGUGUCCGCUAAUACCGGGCGCUAAUGACGGUACCUGCAGAAUAAGCACCGGCUAACUACGUG